GCGCCCGUAGCUCAGCGGAUCAGAGCGUUGGCCUGCGGAGCCAAAGGUCGGAGGUUCAAUUCCUCCCGGGCGUA
rnacentral:tRNA from 1 species